rnacentral:lncRNA from 1 species
CCCAUUAACUUCAUCUUCUCCAAAAAAACCCUAGCCGUCAGCCUGCUCCAUCAUCAUCCUCACCAGAACCACCAUCGUGCUACACAACCAUGAAUAGUUAGAGACAUAAGCUAAACCGAAUCCGGUGGAGGAUCCGAAAACGAACCUGGGUCACCCAACCAUCAAAUGGCUUUUCGCUUGGACGACGCGUGGGUUUGGGGGACGGUGGUAGAGCUUGGCAUAGAGGCGCUGGGGAAAGCCGUGCAUCCAGAGGAAGGAGACGAUGGCGAUGGAGAUGACGAAGACCUGUAGCGCGAUAUUGCGAAUCAUGCUCCAUUUUUGAAUUCUCGUG